CACAGACACACAGAGAAUAUGAAAAAGAAUGAUACAGAGAAGAUUAGCAUGGCCCCUGCGCAAGGAUGACUUGCAAAUUCGUGAAGGCCGGGCGGUGGUG
rnacentral:snRNA from 1 species